GUGAGCAGAUGAAAUUAUCAGCGUGUCCUUUGUAGUCAUGGAGCGACUGAACUCUCUGAAUAAGGAAUGCUUUAGAUAGAAGAAUCCUGGCUCCGACGUGCUUAUUGUCCCAACCAAAGGUAUUGUCAAACUCAGCAGCUCCCAGUAUCUGGCCGUUCACUUUGAUGUAGUUUAGGUACAUUUGGUUCUUAGUUGCCCUGUGCAGCCAUGCAGCUCCCCACAGCAGCUCAUCCUGCAACCAUAAAGAGAAGACAGAAAAAGCUCAACCAUUUGUUAUUUGUAUGGCUUUGGCUUAUACACAACAAAUUGAGUUCAGAAACUCACCUGGUAUCCAGAGUAUGAGCAGUAGAACGGGCAGACAAAGCUUUUCAACCCAUUGCUGUAUGGUCCUCUGUACUUAUCAGCAAAUUGGAACACCUAAACAAACAUUACCAUCAACCAAACUCUCAGUUCUGAGAAUGUACUUUUUAUUAUUAUUCUUAUUGAUGAACUUUUUUCCAGCUAACUUACUUUGAUGGCCCUUUUCAGGAGGAGCUUGGAGUAAGAAGGGUCACAUCUCCUGAAAACCAAAGAAGCAGCAGCUAAAGCAGCAGCGGUUUCACCAGCAACAUCGGAGCCAGGUGAGUUCUGGUCUAUCUUCAACACAGUUCUAGGAGUGUCCAUGUCUUCUGGUCUCUCCCAACAAGCAUGGUCCUUUGUUGCAUCACCAACCUGGACAUAGAUGGUGUUGGGAUGUGCAGUGGCUUUGAGGAGAUAAUCAGUCCCCCAACGAAUAGCUUCCUUUGCAUUCAAAAGCUCACCUUUCAUCAACCCACCAAACUCAAUCACACUCCAGGACAGCAUUGUGGUUGUGAAUGCCAUUGGGAAACCAAACUUCACAUUGUCCCCUGCAUCAUAAUACCCUCCUACCAAAUCCACCUGGGAAAAAAACUCCCACCCAAAAUCAGCCACAAAGAGUGAAACGUUAAAAAACAAAUGUGUGUGUUUGUUUGUUUGUUUAACUACAUACAUUCAUGGCAGAGCCGUCGGAGAGAGCAGAGUCUUUCCUCCAAGACAUCCUCUGGUUGGGAGGGAGCUUCCCAGACCUCUGGCCUUCGAAGAAGAGAAUGGAUUUGGUU
rnacentral:lncRNA from 1 species